rnacentral:rRNA from 1 species
GACGAACGCUGGCGGCGUGCUUAACACAUGCAAGUCGAACGGAAAGGCCCUGCUUUUGUGGGGUGCUCGAGUGGCGAACGGGUGAGUAACACGUGAGUAACCUGCCCUUGACUUUGGGAUAACUUCAGGAAACUGGGGCUAAUACCGGAUAGGAGCUCCUGCUGCAUGGUGGGGGUUGGACAGUUUCGGCGGUUGGGGAUGGACUCGCGGCUGAUCAGCUUGUUGGUGGGGUAGUGGCUUACCAAGGCUUUGACGGGUAGCCGGCCUGAGAGGGUGACCGGGCACAUUGGGACUGAGAUACGGCCCAGACUCCUACGGGAGGCAGCAGUGGGGAAUAUUGCACAAUGGGCGGAAGCCUGAUGCAGCAGCGCCGCGUGCGGGAUGACGGCCUUCGGGUUGUAAACCGCUUUCGCCUGUGACGAAGCGUGAGUGACGGUAAUGGGUAAAGAAGCACCGGCUAACUACGUG